rnacentral:lncRNA from 1 species
AACCUACUAGGAGUUAUAUGAGCAUUAAUGAUAGGCGUUGAGACUUGAUACUUCUCAGAGAUACUGAAAAAUCUGGAAAAAGGUAAAUUUAUUUUUAUUAAUUUUUUUUAAAGAACAGUGUCCAAAAGAAUAAAAUCACAAGGUCAAAGAAUAAAUUGGAGUUGACAUGUUCAGCCAGGAAUGACAAAGCAAAAUGCUAUUCACAAAGAUGUCUGCCCCUGAGUUCCUGGCUCUGCUGAAUGCAAGUUUGGUGUCUGAAGAAUAAAAAUCAAUUUCCUGAAAGAACAAUGUGUAAAAGAGUGUGUCAUUUCAAAGUAUUAUGAAGAAUUCUGAAAUUCUGGCCCAUAAAUGCAUGCUUUAAAACAAAAAGGAGGGAACUGAGAUGUCUCAGGAUGGACAAGGCUUGAAGUUUGUUCUCUGUAGUUGCUGCCAGGUUUCUGGGAAUCCAUGGAAAUGGGAGGUGAGGGGCAAAGAAAUGUCUAAAUGAUUGGAGAUGAAUCUUCAGUAGCACGAAUAAAGGCUAAAGGUCCUUGUUUGCUUAUUCUGGCUUAACAACCUACUCACAUAUUAGUACAGUCUUAAGAUUUUCAAGGCUAGUGCUUUAUAAUUUGUUGUAUUAUUCUUUUGUAAUGUAAAAUAACUUUUACAUUUUUUCCUUUAAGAAGUUAGUCUGUGAUAACUGGUGAUAGGUUAAUUCUUGAUUUUGUGUGAGUGAGUCAGAAAUGCACAGGGAUCAAGUAGAUCUUACAUGGUUGCAUUUGAGAAAGGCUAUUCAGAACCAGGGAAGAGUCAUGAUGAAUCAGUGAAAACAGGCCAAG